rnacentral:rRNA from 1 species
GAGUUUGAUCUUGGCUCAGGAUGAACGCUAGCGGCAGGCCUAACACAUGCAAGUCGAGCGCCCCGCAAGGGGAGCGGCAGACGGGUGAGUAACGCGUGGGAAUCUACCCAGCCCUACGGAAUAACUCCGGGAAACUGGAACUAAUACCGUAUACGUCCGAUAGGAGAAAGAUUUAUCGGGGUUGGAUGAGCCCGCGUUGGAUUAGCUAGUUGGUGGGGUAAUGGCCUACCAAGGCGACGAUCCAUAGCUGGUCUGAGAGGAUGAUCAGCCACACUGGGACUGAGACACGGCCCAGACUCCUACGGGAGGCAGCAGUGGGGAAUAUUGGACAAUGGGCGAAAGCCUGAUCCAGCCAUGCCGCGUGAGUGAUGAAGGCCCUAGGGUUGUAAAGCUCUUUCACCGGUGAAGAUAAUGACGGUAACCGGAGAAGAAGCCCCGGCUAACUUCGUGCCAGCAGCCGCAGU